rnacentral:rRNA from 1 species
AUACGGAGGGUGCAAGCGUUACUAGGAAUAACUGGGCGUAAAGCGCACGUAGGCGGAAUGUUAAGUUAGAGGUGAAAUCCCAGGGCUCAACCCUGGAACGGCCUUUAAUACUGGCAAUCUAGAGACCGAGAGAGGUGUGUGGAAUUCCGAGUGUAGAGGUGAAAUUCGUAGAUAUUCGGAGGAACACCAGUGGCGAAGGCGGCUCACUGGCUCGGUACUGACGCUGAGGUGCGAAAGCGUGGGGAGCAAACAGGAUUAGAUACCCCAGUAGUCC